rnacentral:rRNA from 1 species
UACGGGGGGGGCAAGCGUUGUUCGGAAUUACUGGGCGUAAAGGGCUCGUAGGCGGCCAACUAAGUCAGACGUGAAAUCCCUCGGCUUAACCGGGGAGCUGCGUCUGAUACUGGAUGGCUUGAGGUUGGGAGAGGGAUGCGGAAUUCCAGGUGUAGCGGUGAAAUGCGUAGAUAUCUGGAGGAACACCGGUGGCGAAGGCGGCAUCCUGGACCAAUUCUGACGCUGAGGAGCGAAAGCCAGGGGAGCAAACGGG